AGGAUACAUCAACCCCCACAAGAUUCACACAUUGGUUAAUAAAGCAAAAAAAUUUUACUAAAAGAAAUACAUCAGCAAAUAGUCAUUUCUGUGAAAGAAUGUGAACAAAUGUCUCUGAAAAGCGUGUUGGUUUGGCUUCAAACUUCCAAGUCAUCCAAAACCCAUGUUAGUUAACCUACUAGAUUAGCUUUUGAACCACUUAAUUCUUAUUCUUGGUUGAUAAACAUUGAUCAGUUAACCGAACAACCAACCUCCAUUAAGUUUUCCUAUACUUCAUGAACCAAAACAUGCAUACAAGAUCAGCAGCAGCAUUUUCCUAUACAUAUACAUACAAGCAGAGACAACCAUUUCACUCUCAGAAAAUCAAGAGAAGCGCUCUUUUCAGUUAGUACAGGUACUCUUUGUGUAUAUUGUGGUAUGGGAUCAGGGACAGCAACAAGUUGGACAAAUGGGUGGAACAAGCAUGAAAUACAGCUGGGAGGAAAGAGGAGCAAGAUGGAGAGUAUUAAAGCUGCUGCUGCUGCUGCUGCUGCUGCUGCUGCUCUGGGAUUAGGCAAGGCCAAGGCAGCAGUGAUUGUAGGAGGACACAAGAUGAAGAAGAGGACCUCCACUGUCAUCAGCAUCAACUGGAUCAAAACUCACUGUCACAGAAAGACUUCCAAAUAAAACCUUUUUUGUUUGUAUCAAUUUUAUCUUAAAAGUAUUUCAAUGCUGUAAUGAACCCAUUCUCUUCUAAUUUUGAUUUUCCUUUCAUUCAA